rnacentral:rRNA from 1 species
UACGUAGGGUGCAAGCGUUAAUCGGAAUUACUGGGCGUAAAGCGUGCGCAGGCGGUUAUGCAAGACAGAUGUGAAAUCCCCGGGCUCAACCUGGGAACUGCAUUUGUGACUGCAUGGCUGGAGUGCGGCAGAGGGGGAUGGAAUUCCGCGUGUAGCAGUGAAAUGCGUAGAUAUGCGGAGGAACACCGAUGGCGAAGGCAAUCCCCUGGGAUAACACUGACGCUCAUGCACGAAAGCGUGGGGAGCAAACAGG